AUCGCUUCUCGGCCUUUUGGCUAAGAUCAAGUGUAAACCCCAUAAAAUACUAGGACUUGAAAAAAUUUAUGUGACAGCACAAUGAUUAAACUCAUUCUUUAUCUUUC
rnacentral:sRNA from 1 species